rnacentral:tRNA from 1 species
AGAAAGGUAAGCUAAGUAUAAGCUAAUGGGUUCAUACCCCAAAUAUAGAGUUAUGUACUCUCUUUUCUA